rnacentral:rRNA from 1 species
UACGGAGGGGGCUAGCGUUGUUCGGAAUUACUGGGCGUAAAGCGCACGUAGGCGGCUUUGUAAGUUAGAGGUGAAAGCCCGGAGCUCAACUCCGGAAUUGCCUUUAAGACUGCAUCGCUAGAAUUGUGGAGAGGUAAGUGGAAUUCCGAGUGUAGAGGUGAAAUACGUAGAUAUCAGGAGGAACACCGGCGGCGAAGGCGGCGACCUGGUCCAAUAUUGACACUCAUACACGAAAGUGCGGGGAUCAAACAGG